UUGAUGUUUUUACAUGGAAAUACGAUCAUCUUGACAUGAAUAUUUAUAGAUAGGCAUAAAUACACAGGCUCCCAACCUAAAGAUUUGUUUAUUGAAUAAAAGCUGGGAGAAGAAUAUACUAAUUCCUCCAAUAUAAAUACUCAUCACAGGUUUACUUGUAAGGACAUGACGAAUGGGUUUGUUCAUUUAGGUGAAUUAUAAAUACUAUAUUCAGACCCCCCCAAAAAAAAAAAAAAACACCUAUCGUCAUUAUGCAUAAGCCUAUUGAUCAACUUACUCCCUUCCAUUUCAUUCUCAUUCUCAGUAUAUAUACAUAUUCCAUGGGCGAAUGGAAAACCCUAAACACUCUAUGAGAAAACUCUAAGGAAAAAAGUCAUAGUCGCCGCAUCUUUGAGGGUUGGCGGCCUCCUUCCCUACCUCCUCCCCCUCCUUUCAUCCCU
rnacentral:lncRNA from 1 species